GUGGGGAAUCUUGCGCAAUGGGCGAAAGCCUGACGCAGCCAUGCCGCGUAAAUGAUGAAGGUCUUAGGAUUGUAAAAUUCUUUCACCGGGGACGAUAAUGACGGUACCCGGAGAAGAAGCUCCGGCUAACUUCGUGCCAGCAGCCGCGGUAAUACGAAGGGGGCUAGCGUUGCUCGGAAUUACUGGGCGUAAAGGGCGCGUAGGCGGACAGCUUAGUCAGAGGUGAAAGCCCAGGGCUCAACCUUGGAAUUGCCUUUGAUACUGGCUGUCUUGAGUUUGGGAGAGGUGAGUGGAACUCCGAGUGUAGAGGUGAAAUUCGUAGAUAUUCGGAAGAACACCAGUGGCGAAGGCGACUCACUGGCCCAAUACUGACGCUGAGGCGCGAAAGCGUGGGGAGCAAACAGGAUUAGAUACCCGAGUAGUCC
rnacentral:rRNA from 1 species